GCUACUCUGCCUCUCUUCAGCUUUCAGCUUGGCACACAUAGGGGCUGCCCAAGGAAUUAUGAACUUCUUGUUCUUGAGACUUUGGCAAAACUUCCUGCAAUACUGACCUUUCCAAGUGCCUGCCCCGUAGAUGCUCCUGGGCUUAGAUUAUUUUUGGUUCUGCCAACCACCUAUACAGUACUAAUUGCAAUUUCCCUUCAACGUGCAUUUUUUAACAAUUGAGGACGCACUUAUAGUUUCUAAAUCCCUGGCCCAACAAAAUUUACUGUCUCUGAAACCCAAAUCCAGCCCCUUUCUUGGGGGGGGGGGGGCGGGCUGCCCAAAGAUGCGUGUUAAUCAAAGGUUUAGGCUCUGGGGUCAGAAAACUAAGUAUGGUUCAAAAUCCCUGUCCCACAUUUACUAGUUAUAUAACGUUGGACUUACCACUGAACUUCUCAGGGCCUCACUUUCCUCAAUUGUACGACCAGAUCAUUGUGAGGAUCAAAAACAGUACCUGGAAGGCUCUGCUAUUCCCUGAGACACAGGAAACAAUAUUGGAACGAGGCCAAUUUAUAACCCUACAAUGGCCUCUAAGUGUCCAAGUGAAAGGAAGAGCCAAAUGUCUCUCGCUUUAAAUCAAAAGCUAGAAAUGAUUGAGCUCAGUGAGGAAGGCUUGCCAACAGCUGAGAUGGGCCGAAAGCUAGGCCUGUUGUGCCAGUUAGCCAAGUCGUGAAUGCAAAGGAAAAGUUGUUGAAGGAAAUUGAAAAGUGCUACUCCAGUGAGCACAUGAGUAAUAAGAAGGCAAAAUAGCCUUAUUGCGGAUAUGGAGAAAGUUUGAGUGGUCUGGAGAGGAGAUCAAACCCACCGCGACAUUCCCUUAAGCCAGAGCCUAAUCCAGAGCAAGGCCCUGGCUCUCUUCAUUUCUAUGAAGGCUGAGAGAGGGGAGGAAGCUGCAGAAGGAAAGUCUGAAGCUGGUAAAGGUUGGUUUAUGAGGUUUAGGGAAAGACGCCAUCUCCAUAGCAUUGAAGUGCAAGGUGAGGCAGCAAGUGCUGAUGUAGAAGCUGCAGCAAGCCUUCCAGAAGAUCUAGCUAUGGUAACUGAUGAAGGUGGCUCCGCUGAACAACGGAUUUUCAACGUAGAUGAAACAGCCUCCUAUUGGAAGAAGAUGGCAUCUAGGACUUUCAUAGCUAGAGAGGACAAGUCAAUGAUCAGCUUUGAAGCUUCAAAGGACAGGCUGACUCUCUUGUUAGGGGCUAAUGCAGCUGGUGACUUGAAGUUGAAGCCAAUGCUCAUUUUUGUUCCAAAAAUCCUUAAAAACUAUGCCAAAUCUACUCUGCCUGUGCUCUAUAAAUGGAAAAACAAAGCCUGGAUGAAAGCACGUUCCAGAGAAAUCAUUUGUGAAAGGAAGAGGCAAUCAAUGCAGCAGACUUCAUUGUCUUAGAAAUUGCCACAGCCACCCUGACCUUCAGUACCCGCCAUCCUGAUCAGUCAGCAACUGUUAACAUCAAGGUGAGACCAUUUGUGACUCUAUGGAUGGACCAGGGGUAUUGAGCUAAGAAAAAUAAGUUAAGAGAAAGACAAAUGUCAUGUGAUUUCACCUAUAUGUGGAAUCUAAAAAGAAAACAAAACAAAUGAACAAACAAAAAAGCAACAACAAAAUCAUAAACGCAGAGAACAAAUUCGUGGUUGCCAGAGGGGAGGGGUUUGAGGGAAUGGGCAAAAUAGGUGAAGGGAAUUAAGAGGUACAAACUUCCAGUUAUAAAUAAGUCAAGGGGUGAAAGAUACAGCAUAAGGAGUAUAGUCAAUAAUAUUGUAAUAACAUUAUAUGUUGACAGAUGGUAACUACAUUUAUUGUAGUGAGCAGAGCAUAAUGU